UCCCACGGUAACGGAGGUGGAAGUCAGUUCUACUUCUCUGUUGUUUUGCAAGGAAUGUUCCUAGGAAUAUUCUGUUGCACCCUGGGAACAUUAUCUUCAUCCGUAUUUUAAGCUUUUUAUAGACAAGCAAAAGAACCAUUUAAAAUAUAUAUACCACAGCUUCUGAUAUAGUGUUGAAAUACUACAGGCAUAUUAAGCAGUUUCUCCCAUUCACAAAGGAUGAGUCAAGUGAGAUUUGACAACAAUUUUAUGAAACUGACAAAAUGAAUCACAAUCAAUUAAUAUGUAAUGGUUUUAUUUAUAAGAAUUUGAUGGUCAAAGCUGUGAAAGCUUAUAUACUUCUCUCUGGAAGCAGGAUUAAAGGAGUUCACUCUUGGUGAACUCACCAACACACAAUCUUGAGCUGGAGAAGUCAUUACAUCAUUACAAAGCACAUGACAUUCCUCAGAGAAGCUCUAGGGUCCUGAGGAAGAUUGUAGCCUCUGCCACGAUCCCAAUCCCAGCUCUGUUGAUACAGCGGGAACCUGUUGAACAACAGUGGUGCCAACUCCACAAACCAGAUGCUCGGCUCCAGACCCACUGAGCACUGAUGGCACAGAGGCUCAGCUUCCCAGAGUUACUGGGGCUCUGAUUCUUUCAAGGCCUCCUGAUGUGGUGAUAAGCUCCAUAUUUUUUCUUCUGGGCCUGCAUACACCAUAAGGCAGGAGAAACAAUUGACUUACAGUUGUGUAAUUUUAACAUCUGAAGAAAACUUUGUGUUAUGAACUGAAUAGAAAAAUAAUCAAGACAAGCUUUCUAUGAUUCUUAAUAAAAUGCUACAUGUUCAUACCAUUUUACCUCUC